rnacentral:rRNA from 1 species
GAUGAACGCUAGCGGCAGGCUUAAUACAUGCAAGUCGAACGGCAGCACGGGUAGCAAUAUCUGGUGGCGAGUGGCGCACGGGUGCGUAACGCGUAUGCAAUCUACCUUCAACUGGUGAAUAGCCCGAAGAAAUUCGGAUUAACACACCAUAGUAUAUUAGAGUGGCAUCACUUUAAUAUUAAAACUCCGGUGGUUGAAGAUGAGCAUGCGUGACAUAGCUAGUUGGUGAGGUAAUGGCUCACCAAGGCUACGAUGUCUAGGGGAUCUGAGAGGAUUAACCCCCACACUGGUACUGAGACACGGACCAGACUCCUACGGGAGGCAGCAGUAAGGAAUAUUGGACAAUGGUCGCAAGACUGAUCCAGCCAUG